AACGAACGCUGGCGGCAUGCCUAACACAUGCAAGUCGAACGAGACCUUCGGGUCUAGUGGCGCACGGGUGCGUAACGCGUGGGAACCUGCCCUUAGGUUCGGAAUAACUCCCCGAAAGGGGUGCUAAUACCGGAUAAUGUCUUCGGCCCAAAGAUUUAUCGCCUUUGGUUGGGCCCGCGUUGGAUUAGCUAGUUGGUAGGGUAAAAGCCUACCAAGGCGACGAUUCAUAGCUGGUUUGAGAGGAUGAUCAGCCACACUGGGACUGAGACACGGCCCAGACUCCUACGGGAGGCAGCAGUGGGGAAUAUUGGACAAUGGGCGAAAGCCUGAUCCAGCAAUGCCGCGUGAGUGAUGAAGGCCUUAGGGUUGUAAAGCUCUUUUACCCGGGAUGAUAAUGACAGUACCGGGAGAAUAAGCUCCGGCUAACUCCGUG
rnacentral:rRNA from 1 species